AUGAGAUUUGGGUGCAGACACAGCCAAAUCAUAUUGCUAUUCUUAUCAGUUUAAUAUCUGAUGUGUCCUCUAUUUGGGCAUAAUAUAUAAAACAAAUUUUUGGAGAAGGGAGAUACAAUAGGAGCUUGUUCCAUCCACUCCAUGCAUUAACCUGGUAUUGCAGUACCUCCAGGAAUGGUGCAACUUCC